GAUGAACGCUGGCGGCGUGCCUAAUACAUGCAAGUCGAGCGAACAGACGAGGAGCUUGCUCCUCUGACGUUAGCGGCGGACGGGUGAGUAACACGUGGAUAACCUACCUAUAAGACUGGGAUAACUUCGGGAAACCGGAGCUAAUACCGGAUAAUAUAGUGAACCGCAUGGUUCAAUAGUGAAAGACGGUUUUGCUGUCACUUAUAGAUGGAUCCGCGCCGCAUGAGCUAGUUGGUAAGGUAACGGCUUACCAAGGCAACGAUGCGUAGCCGACCUGAGAGGGUGAUCGGCCACACUGGAACUGAGACCCGGUCCAGACUCCUACGGGAGGCAGCAGUAGGGAAUCUUCCGCAAUGGGCGAAAGCCUGACGGAGCAACGCCGCGUGAGUGAUGAAGGUCUUCGGAUCGUAAAACUCUGUUAUUAGGGAAGAACAAAUGUGUAAGUAACUAUGCACGUCUGGACGGUACCUAAGCAGAAAACCCCGGCUAACUACGU
rnacentral:rRNA from 1 species